AAGGUCCCAGCAGUUCGCUGGUGCUGGAAAAAGACAUUCAGGGGGAAGCCUGGCACCAGAUGUGUACCGUGACUUACCAUAAGCCCUGAAACGCUGCUGCUACUCCAUCGUGUGAACUUUUUCUGAGUCGGGCUGGCGCCCAGCAGCAGUCUCUGGGCAUCCGCAGCAGCAUGGUCCCGCGAACGCUCCUGGGUGUGGCAGGCAUCCCGUGACUGCUCGACUACAAAGUGGUUCACAGUUUGACUCCUAGGGGAAAACGAAGGAAUUUCAAUCUCAUUUCAGUCUGUUUGCUGGUCCAUCUAGUCAAAUAAAAAAAUUUUUUUGUUUCUUUUCUUUUUCUUGAA